rnacentral:rRNA from 1 species
CAUGCAAGUCGAGCGCGAUGUGUAGCAAUACACGGAAAGCGGCGGAAGGGAGAGUAAUACGUGGGAAUCUGCCCUUAGACCUGGGAUAGCAGCGGGAAACUGCUGGUAAUACCAGAUAAUGUCUAUGGACCAAAGGUGUGAUUCCGUCUAGGGAUGAGCCCACGUCCUAUUAGCUAGUUGGUAGGGUAAUGGCCUACCAAGGCGAUGAUGGGUAGCGGGUGUGAGAGCAUGACCCGCCUCACUGGGACUGAGACACUGCCCAGACACCUACGGGUGGCUGCAGUCGAGAAUCUUCGGCAAUGGGCGCAAGCCUGACCGAGCGAUGCCGCGUGCGGGACGAAGGCCUUCGGGUUGUAAACCGCUGUCGAGGGGGAGCAACUUCCAUAGAGUUAUCUUUAUGGAUUGAGUGAUCCCUGGAGGAAGGACGGGCUAAGUUCGUGCCAGCAGCCGCGGUAAGACGAACCGUCCAAACGUUAUUCGGUAUCACUGGGCUUAAAGAGUUCGUAGGCGGCUAAACAGGUGAGGUGUGAAAGCCCUCGGCUCAACCGAGGAACUGCGCUUCAAACCGUUUAGCUAGAGGAAGACAGAGGUGAGCGGAACUGAUGGUGGAGCGGUGAAAUGCGUUGAUAUCAUCAGGAACACCGGUGGCGAAAGCGGCUCACUGGGUCUUUUCUGACGCUGAGGAACGAAAGCUAGGGGAGCGAACGGGAUUAGAUAC